rnacentral:rRNA from 1 species
ACUCCUACGGGAGGCAGCAGUGGGGAAUAUUGCACAAUGGGCGCAAGCCUGAUGCAGCAACGCCGCGUGAGCGAUGAAGGCCUUCGGUCGUAAAGCUCUGUCCUCAAGGAAGAAUAAAUAGACGGUACUUGAGGAGGAAGCCCGGCUAACUACUUGCCAGCAGCCGCGGUAAUACGUAGGGGGCAAGCGUUAUCCGGAAUCACUGGGGCGUAAAGGGGUGCGUAGGCGGUUUUCAAGUCAGAAGUGAAAGGCUAUGGCUCAACCAUAGUAAGCUUUUGAAACUGUUAAACUUGAGUGCAGGAGAGGAAAGUGGAAUUCCUAGUGUAGAGGUGAAAUUCGUAGAUAUUAGGAGGAACACCAGUGGCGAAGGCGACUUUCUGGACUGUAACUGACGCUGAGGCACGAAAGCGUGGGGAGCGAACAGGAUUAGAU